rnacentral:lncRNA from 1 species
AGACAAAAGUCAACUACUGCUGAGGCAUGGGCUUAAUAAAUGUUGACUAAAGUAUCCAACUCAACAACCAAUCCUGUAUAAUUUUCAAACUCUGUCAAUAACUUGCUGGGUCCAACCUGCAGACCCUGGCUGCAUGAUGGAUGAAGAAAUGUACUCAGACACAGAUCCCCUACAAAAGACCAUGUUUCUUCUCAGCUUGCUCUGUCCAACUGAGCCAGCUUUCCACUGGACUCCUGAAUGUGAGAAGAACACAGGCUCCCAGAACCAUCCAGAAGCAUCUCUCAUCACCGUAAAGCUCUGAAACACUGGCUGGGUGCAGAGGCUCAUGCAAGUAAUCCCAACACAUUCAGCAGCUGAGGUGGGAGGAUUGCUUGAGGCCAGGAAUUCAAGACCAGCCUAGGCAGCAUAGCAAGACCCCAUCUCUACAAAAAGUACACCCCAAAAUUACCUGGGUGUGGUGGCACAUGCCUAUAGUCUCAAUUAAUUGGGAUGCUGAGGCAGGACUAUUCUUUGAGCCCAGGAGUUUGAGGCUGCAGUGUGGUAUGAUCGCACCACUGCACUCCAGCCUGGGAGACAGAUUGAGACCAUCUCUAAAACAACAACAACAGGCCAGGUGCAGUGGCUUAUGCCUGUAAUCCCAGCAAUUUGGGAGGCAGAGGCGGGUGGAUCAUCUGAGAUCAGGAAGUCGAGACCUGCCUGAGCAACCUGGUGAAAUCCUGUCUCUACUAAAAAUACAAAAAAUUAGCAGGGCAUGGUGGCACGCACCUGUAAUCCCGGCUACUCGGGAGGCCGAGGCAGGAGCAUUGCUUGUACCCAGGAGGCAGAGAUUGCAGUGAACUGAGAUCAUGCCAUUGCACUCCAGUCUGAGCAACAAGAGCAAAACUUCAUCUCAAAAAAAUAAAAAAUAUAAAAAAUAAAACAACAACAACAAAAAAUGAGACAGAAAACUGAAAUAUUUUAAGUUUCAUUAUUGCUUGUUAGUUGAUUAAAGUAAUUCUGCUUCCACUUUAUUUUUAAAGACACUAAUUGCUACACUGAAUAAAACCUUAAUGGAGUUUCA